AUUGCACGCUGGCGGCAGGCCUAACACAUGCAAGUAGAGCGAGCGGCGGAAGGGAGAGUAAUGAAUGUGGCUCUGCCUGAUUGAGGGGGAUCAAUACUGGGAACGGUAGCUACUAACGCACACCAGAAGAAGAUCCCAUAUGGGAUUAGCAUGUAGGUAAGGUAACGUCUUACCUAGGCGACGAUACCUAGCUGGUCUGAUAGGAUGAUAAGCCACACUGGGACUGAGACACGGCCCAGACUCCUACGUGAGGCAGCAGUGGGGAAUAUUGCACAAUGGGCGCAAGCCUGAUGCAGCCAUGCCGCGUGUAUGAAGAAGGCCUUCGGGUUGUAAAGUACUUUCAGUCGGGAGGCGUUACCGACAGAAGAAGCACCGGCUAACUCCGUGCCAGCCGCCGCGGUAAUAC
rnacentral:rRNA from 1 species